CAGCAGCCGCGGGAAUACAGAGGGUGCGAGCGUUAAUCGGAUUUACUGGGCGUAAAGCGUGCGCAGGCGGUGUUGUAAGACUGAUGUGAAAUCCACGGGCUCAACCUGGGAACUGCAUUGGUGACUGCAAUGCUGGAGUGCGGCAGAGGGGGAUGGAAUUCCGCGUGUAGCAGUGAAAUGCGUAGAUAUGCGGAGGAACACCGAUGGCGAAGGCAAUCCCCUGGGCCUGCACUGACGCUCAUGCACGAAAGCGAGGGGAGCAAACAGGAUUAGAUACCCCCGUAGUCCCUGUCUCUUAUAC
rnacentral:rRNA from 1 species